rnacentral:rRNA from 1 species
CCUACGGGUGGCAGCAGUGAGGAAUAUUGGUCAAUGGCCGGAAGGCUGAACCAGCCAUGCCGCGUGAAGGACAGGGACCUAGGGGCGUUAAACUUCUUUUGUGCGGGAGCAAGAAUGGUCACGUGUGGCCAGACGAGAGUACCGUACGAAUAAGCAUCGGCUAACUCCGGGCCAGCAGCCGCGGUAAUACGGGGGAUGCAAGCGUUAUCCGGAUUUAUUGGGUUUAAAGGGUGCGUAGGCUGUGCGGUAAGUCAGCGGUGAAAUGCCCCCGCUCAACGGGGUGAAGUGCCAUUGAUACUGCCUUGCUGGACUGCGGAUGCCGUGGGCGGAGUGUGUGGUGUGGCGGUGAAAUGC